rnacentral:rRNA from 1 species
GACGAACCGUGCAAACGUUGUUCGGAAUCACUGGGCUUAAAGGGCGCGUAGGCGGGCAAGCAAGUCGAAGGUGAAAUCCCACGGCUCAACCGUGGAAGUGCCCCCGAUACUGCUUGUCUUGAGGGAGAUAGGGGCGUGCGGAACUUCCGGUGGAGCGGUGAAAUGCGUAGAUAUCGGAAGGAACACCGGUGGCGAAAGCGGCGCGCUGGAUCUCUUCUGACGCUGAGGCGCGAAAGCCAGGGGAGCGAACGGG